AACGAACGCUGGCGGCAUGCCUAACACAUGCAAGUCGAACGAGACCUUCGGGUCUAGUGGCGCACGGGUGCGUAACGCGUGGGAACCUGCCUUUAGGUUCGGAAUAACUCAGAGAAAUUUGAGCUAAUACCGGAUGAUGUCUUCGGACCAAAGAUUUAUCGCCUUUAGAUGGGCCCGCGUUGGAUUAGCUAGUUGGUGGGGUAAAGGCCUACCAAGGCGACGAUCCAUAGCUGGUCUGAGAGGAUGAUCAGCCACACUGGGACUGAGACACGGCCCAGACUCGUACGGGAGGCAGCAGUGGGGAAUAUUGGACAAGGGGCGAAAGCCUGAUCCAGCAAUGCCGCGUGAGUGAUGAAGGCCUUAGGGUUGUAAAGCUCUUUUACCCGAGAUGAUAAUGACAGUAUCGGGAGAAUAAGCUCCGGCUAACUCCGUG
rnacentral:rRNA from 1 species